rnacentral:misc_RNA from 1 species
AAGAUUCGGCCCUUGGGCCAAACCUCCCCAGCUGUGCGCUUCGGCUGCACGUUGGUUAAACCUCACACACCUGUGAACAUUCCGGUUGUGGCCUGUCUUUUGGCAUCCCACUUCCGCCCCUUUACAUAAAACUACCAAGUCUAGAAUGUAAAAACUAUAAAGUAA